AUGGCAGCGCAACAGCAGAAACUUGAGGGCGAUGUGCAGCGGGCCAGGUCGGCAGCGGAGGCGACCCCCUAGGCCCCUUCAUGUGUCCAGUGUGCUUAGAGGUGUACGAGAAGCCUGUGCUGGUGACCUACGGACACGUCUUUUGCUCUGCAUGCCUGCAGGAAUGUCUGAAGCCGAAGAAACCUGUCUGUGGGGUCUGUCGCAGCCCUCUGGCACCUGGCGUCCGAGCCGAGGAGCUCGAGCGGCAGAUCGAGAGCACAGAGACUUCUUGCCAUGGCUGCCGUAAGAAUUUCUUCUUGUCCAAGAUCCGAGCCCAUGUGGCUACCUGUUCUAAAUACCAGAAUUAUAUCAUGGAAGGUUUGGCCACCACUAAGGAUGUGUCCCUUCAGCCAAGGAAUGUCCCAAAUCGUUAUACCUUUCCUUGUCCUUAUUGUCCUGAGAAGAACUUUGACCAGGAAGGACUUGUGGAACAUUGCAAACUAUCCCACAGCAAGGAUACCAAAUCUGUGGUUUGUCCGAUAUGUGCCUCUAUGCCCUGGGGAGACCCCAACUACCACAGCGCCAACUUCAGAGAGCACAUCCAGCGCCAGCACCAGUUUUUUUAUGAUACUUUUGUGGAUUAUGAUGUUGAUGAAGAGGACAUGAUGAAUCAAGUGUUGCAGCGUUCCAUCAUUGACCAGUGAGCAGAGUCUGUACCAUCCGUCUCAUGUUCCAGAGCUUCCAUUAUGUGUUAAAUGUGAAACUUUUGACUCCUACACCAUAACUGUACAACAGAGUUGGAAAUGAUCUAUGGCCUUGGGACAGUCACUUCUGACAGGGUCCCCAGGUCAGAGCCCUCCUUUCCUUUCGGCUCUUCCAAAGCUGUCUUCCCUGCUGUUAACUUUGUUUGUCACAUGCUCUAGUCUAUUGGUUCUUAGUUGCUUCUUGGAGCUUCUGCCUCUUCUUCUGGAAGAGAAUCCAGCCUUUUCAC